AGAUUAUAAAAACAAACGACGAAAGCUACGGACAAAGGAUAUGAAUGUGUAUAGCCGUAUUUUUUAAUUUCUUACAUCAUAAUUGGGAGUACAAGAAAUGCAACAUUAACAUAUACAUCACCAGUAGUCAAGAGACCCUCUUCACGUGUGCCUGAAGUGUGCUUAAAUUUUUUAUGACGGUCGUGGACUAAGAUUAAACCAAUGUCCUAAGGUCAUAAGCAAACAAGCUAGAUAGUGGAACGAAGAGACAAGCUACAAAAAUGGAUUUUUAAGGUUAAAAAUCCAUAUCCGUAUAUUUUUGUAUAAUCGGUGAAUAAAUAUAUUAAUUGAAAAUUAA
rnacentral:lncRNA from 1 species